GACGAAGGUGGCGAGCGUUGUUCGGAAUCACUGGGCAUAAAGCGCACGUAGGCGGUGUCAUAAGUCGGAUGUGAAAUCCCUCGGCCUAACCGAGGAACUGCGUCCGAUACUGUGAUGCUUGAGGACCAGAGGGGUGCAUGGAAUUUCCGGUGGAGCGGUGAAAUGCGUUGAUAUCGGGAGGAACACCUGUGGCGAAAGCGGCUCUCUGGACCACAACUGACGCUGAGGCGCGAAAGCUAGGGGAGCAAACAGG
rnacentral:rRNA from 1 species